rnacentral:rRNA from 1 species
AUGCACGUGCAACUGGAGACCGACUGUUUUGAGGUAGUAAACCUCUGGAACUCUAGCUACACUAAUCGUUUGGUAGUAGCACCGAUUCUUUCUGAAAUUAGAGAGCUCUCUGCUAGCUUUUUGUCCUUUGUUAUCUCUCAUAUAAUAAGAGCUGCUAAUGGUCCUGCACAUCUGUGUUCUAAGCGUGCUUGUACACUUAAUGUGACCGAAAGCUGGCUAGACUCCACUCGUAGCUUCCUGGUCAGUAGCCUCUUGGCUGACUGUCCAGCGAAUGCCUUUAUUCAAUAA